GACGAACGCUGGCGGCGCGCCUAACACAUGCAAGUCGAACGGAGCUGAGAGAAGCUUGCUUUUCUUAGCUUAGUGGCGAACGGGUGAGUAACGCGUGAGUAACCUGCCCUGGAGUGGGGGACAACAGUUGGAAACGACUGCUAAUACCGCAUAAGCCCACGAUCCGGCAUCGGAUUGAGGGAAAAGGAUUUAUUCGCUUCAGGAUGGACUCGCGUCCAAUUAGCUAGUUGGUGAGGUAACGGCCCACCAAGGCGACGAUUAGUAGCCGGACUGAGAGGUUGAACGGCCACAUUGGGACUGAGACACGGCCCAGACUCCUACGGGAGGCAGCAGUGGGGGAUAUUGCACAAUGGGGGAAACCCUGAUGCAGCGACGCCGCGUGGAGGAAGAAGGUUUUCGGAUUGUAAACUCCUGUCGUUAGGGACGAUAAUGACGGUACCUAACAAGAAAGCACCGGCUAACUACGUG
rnacentral:rRNA from 1 species